GAUGAACGCUGGCGGCGUGCCUAAUACAUGCAAGUCGAGCGAACGGACGAGAAGCUUGCUUCUCUGAUGUUAGCGGCGGAAGGGUGAGUAACACGUGGAUAACCUACCUAUAAGACUGGGAUAACUUCGGGAAACCGGAGCUAAUACCGGAUGAUAUUUUGAACCGCAUGGUUCAAAAGUGAAAGACGGUCUUGCUGUCACUUAUAGAUGGAUCCGCGCUGCAUUAGCUAGUUGGUAAGGUAACGGCUUACCAAGGCAACGAUGCAUAGCCGACCUGAGUGGGUGAUCGGCCACACUGGAACGGAGACACGGUCCAGACUCCUACGGGAGGCAGCAGUAGGGAAUCUUCCGCAAUGGGCGAAAGCCUGACGGAGCAACGCCGCGUGAGUGAUGAAGGUCUUCGGAUCGUAAAACUCUGUUAUUAGGGAAGAACAUAUGUGUAAGUAACUGUGCACAUCUUGACGGUACCUAAUCAGAAAGCCACGGCUAACUACGUG
rnacentral:rRNA from 1 species